GAGCUGCCGGAAGUAUGUAUGUGGUGGACAAAUAAGUGAAGUCAUGUGUAACGGCCGCGUCAACCCUCCAUUCUAUUGUGCUAAGCUAAUGCCCAAGAUCUUAAAACUAACAUUAUGAGGAAACCAGUGGUGCUUGUUAUACUAAAUUUUAAACUGAAUCAACGUAAUUAAAUUCUAGUUACUUGAUUCUUUCGGUUACCAAAUAUGUAAGAUAUUUCCCAAUUUAUGGUUUGUAGCAGCUGAUGAAUGUGUAUCGGUAAUUAAGCUAAAACGUGAAAAAGGUGUUAAUAAACAUAGCCAGGUUUUUUGUGUAAGUUGUAAGCAAUUAUUUCUAAUUGAUAGAUGGCUCUUCCUAUAACUGCCUUUUCUAGUAUUGCUCUGGCUCUGUGCACCGUCUAUAAUGCCACACAGUAUUACCAAAUUCCAAAACAAUAAAAAAAAAACAAUUUUUCAGUGAAAGCAUACAAUAGUCAUGAACGAAAUUGGGGCAUUGACCAUUUAAACCAGUUUGCAUCGGUAUUAUUUGUUAU